rnacentral:lncRNA from 1 species
ACAUCUCAAUUCAAUCUUAAUUUAAUUUUAGUUAAAAUCCUAUUGAAAUUUAUUCAAACUUUAGGCCAAAACUAAUUGAAUCUUAAAUCCUAAUAAAAUCCUAAAUCCUAAAUCAAACCCUAAAAAAACCUUAAACUAAACUCUAACCAAAUUCUAAAUCAAAUCCUAAUCAAAUUCUAAACCAAAUCCUAAACUAAACCCUAAAUCAAAUCCUAAAUCCUAAAUCAAAUCCUAAACCCUAAACCCUAAAUCAAACCCUAAUAAUUCCUACAACAGAUUUAAACCUCAAUAACUAAUGAAUAAACCAUUGAUCAUAAUUCAAAUUUUGCACACUUCUAAAAAAAUAAGUUAAAAAUAAGCACAAAAAAAUUUAAAAGGAUCGAAGUUAGCAAGUUGACGAUAACCUCAAAAAUGUGCUUAGGUAAUGGCCGACCUCCUUCUCCAAUCAUGAUACCAAUCUUCCAGAGCCAAUAUCUCUCUUUUGUACCGUUCGAUUGAUCUCAAAAUUCUCAUACGUAUAGAAAAUCAAGUCUAAUAUCCUCUCAUAUAAGUUUUACUCCAAUCCAACCAGUAGAUUGCAAGAAAUCUUAAAAACCUCUACUAGACCUAAAAUUCUAUCUUCUGAGACCUUGACCCACUUAAACUUUAAUAUUCCUCAAUUAAACCUUUAGAUCGAGUUCAAACUCACAACACAUAUUAAACACAACUAUAACCAUAAACCUACAUAAUUUCAUGUAUAGAUCUAUUACAAAACUCUUGAAAUCAUCCAAAACGUAAACCCUGUUUCAUUUCAUAAAAUCCAAGUCAUCCGAAACAAACCUUGACUUUGCAAAGCUCUUACAAAGUUAUAACAACUCCAAAUCA